GAUGAAGAACGCAGCGAAAUGCGAUACGUAAUGUGAAUUGCAGAAUUCAGUGAAUCAUCGAAUCUUUGAACGCACAUUGCGCCCGCCAGUAUUCUGGCGGGCAUGCCUGUCUGAGCGCCAUUUCAACCCUCAUGCCCCUAGGGCGUGGUGUUGGGGAUCGGCCAAAGCCCGCGAGGGACGGCCGGCCCCUAAAUCUAGUGGCGGACCCGUCGUGGCCUCCUCUGCGAAGUAGUGAUAUUCCGCAUCGGAGAGCGAUGAGCCCCUGCCGUUAAACCCCCAACUUUCCAAGGUUGACCUCAGAUCAGGUAGGAAUACCCGCUGAACUUAAGCAUAUCAAUAAGCGGAGGA
rnacentral:misc_RNA from 1 species